rnacentral:sRNA from 19 species
GUCAAUUACCCACCGCCCCUAGAGGCGGGGGCUUGUAGAAAUACAAGCUCGGUUGAUUAGCCUAUGUCAUUAGUUUUUGCUAAUGAUUAGUUAUAGCAGAAUAUAUAGUCACCGUGGGAUGCUCCACAAGUCCCAUGCUCUGAG